UACGUAGGGGGCAAGCGUUGUCCGGAUUUAUUGGGCGUAAAGAGCGUGUAGGCGGCCAUGCAGGUCCGUUGUGAAAACUCGAGGCUCAACCUCGAGACGCCGAUGGAAACCGCAUGGCUAGAGUCCGGAAGAGGAGAGUGGAAUUCCUGGUGUAGCGGUGAAAUGCGCAGAUAUCAGGAAGAACACCGGUGGCGAAGGCGGCCUGCUGGGCAGUAGCUGACGCUGAUGCGCGACAGCGUGGGGAGCAAACAGG
rnacentral:rRNA from 1 species